rnacentral:lncRNA from 1 species
UGAGUGCUCCGUUGGGUUCAUCUCCCACACAUGGGAACCUGACAAGGGAUCAGCUAAAUGAUCGGGUUUUGGACGUCCACUCUAAAAUGCCCGCAUUGCACGAGUCCACCGGGCUGAGGCCCCUGUGUUGGAGGUGACACUUUGGUGUUGGACUGUGUCCAAGGGGGAUCAGGGGAUUAACCAAGAAAGGCUACCAAGAUCGUCUGAUGUUCCCACAUGGAUCCACUGUGACGCACCACCAUGGUGGCAGAUGUGCAUUGGCAUUCGGCUGACUGACAUAUGGAGAAAUCGUGCACACAUCGCAAGCACAUGGACUUCGGCCGCCAUUCCCAAGGCGUACGAACAGUCGGUGGACAUUUGGGACAGGCCAGCCAGUAUCAAAUGUUUUGGAUGGUGCUGUCACUUAGACAUGGAGACAUUGCACACAAACUCAUCUCAGGGUCCAUCGAGGACAUUUGAGAAUGCAUUUUGGAUUUUUUCUUUGGACUCUAUAUGCAAUGGCAUCAAGGCAGUACAUGAGUUCUUGCCAUGUUUGGCUCAGCAUGUUUGCAUUCACCAGUACACAUGCAGCUCUCCUCUGAGAAUGAAGAUCCAGCAGGUUUGCAACCUUGGUGUUGUAGACAAUAUCUUUGACAAACCCCCACAGAAAAUAAAAAUCAAGGGGGUUAUGUCUGGAGAUCCGGGGGGGGCAUGGAGUUGGUCUGUCUUGGCCAAUCCAGAGACUUGGAAAUUUUUCAUUCAGGACGACUAGAAGGACAAAGGCCCAAUGAGGGGGAACACCGUCCUGCGGAAAAAUUAUAUCGGGUUGCAAGUCUUCAAUCUGUGGGAAGGCGAAUCCCAACAUGGUCAUGUUAAUUGUUGAGGUUACUGUUUCUUCUGCAAAGAAAAACGCAAACAUGCUGUGGAGGAAGAAUCUGAGGCCAGGAGAGCGAGUUCACAUAUCUAGUUCACAUAUCUACGAUGCAGGAGAGGACUCGCCUACUGUGUCUGGGCACCUCAGGGACGUGGCUGCGUGUCCCCCAUCGUGUCACAUCGCCAGUGUCCAUCUUCCCCAUCCAUUUUCCUCUGCAUUCUCUUGUAUAUUUGGGUUGUGUGAGGUGAGGGAGAAAGGAAAAGGCUGCUUUUCUUUUCUCCAUGCAUUACUUUUAUUAUAUUUUCAAGUCCUUGUUUUACUCUUCUUCCCUGAGUGAAUGAUGGCCAAGUCUUUUGUGUAAGAUUGAAUAAGAAUAUGUGUUAUGGUUAAAUCUGCUCUUACAGUACCUAAAGAAAGCCUACACCCCCUCUCAAAAGUUUCACCUUUUGUUUCAUGAAAGCCUGGAAAUAAAUUUCAUUAAAUCAGACUUUUGUCCACCUUUAUUCACACAUCGUAACCCACAACUUCCAAGUGAAAAGCAAAUUCUACAAAUUUCAGAAAAUUAAUUUAAAAUACAAAACUAGAAUAUCUUGGUUGGAUACUUGGUGGAAGCAGCUUAGACAGCAAUUACACCUGUGAAUCUGUGAUGAUAGGUCUGCACCAACUUUGCACAACUUGAUUGGGCAAUAUUUUCCCAUUAUUCUGUACAAAACUGUUCAAGCUCAGUCAAGUUGUGUGGGCGUUGAUGGACAGCAAUCUUCAAGUCAUGACACAGAUUUUCAAUUGGAUUUAGUUUGGGGCUCUGACUGGGCCACUCAAGGACAUUUAUCUUUUUGCUGCUCAACCACUACAUUGUAAUUUUAGCUGUGUGCUUCGGGUCAUUGUCAUGCUGAAAGGUGAACUUCCAUCCCAAUUUCAGCUUUCUUGCAGAUGGCAGCAGGUCUUCCUGGAGGAUUUUUUCUGUAUUUUGCGCCAUCCAUUUUCCCUUCACUCAACCUGUCAUCCUUCUGAGGUCGGCAGAAUGAGUACCAGCUUGCUGGGAUGAUUGAGCUAUUUAAGUAUUCUGCAUCGGAUUGGCGACCUGUCCAGGAUUGAGCCCAAUAGCCCUGGAGACUGCUUCAGUAGCACCGAUGCUCUUUACAGAGUAUGGUCCCGAUGGAUGGAUGGAUUUUUACUUUUAUCCUCACAAGUGCCCCAGUCCCUGCUGAUGAGAAACAUCCUCAUCACAAGAUGCUGUCACCACCAUGCUUCACAUGAGGGAUGGUGUUCUUUGGGUAAUGUGCUGUGUUGGGUUUGUGCCAAACGUAACGUUUUGCAUUUAGGCCAAAAAGUUCCAUCUUGGUUUCAUCAGACCACACAUCUUUUACCACAUGGCUUCAGACGCUCCGGAAUGAUUUUUUGCAUUUCUCAAACGGGACUCAAGGUGGGCUUUUGUGAGUAAUAGAUUUCCUUCUUGCCACCGCACCAUACAGGCCAGACUUGUGGCAUGCUUGGGUUGUUUUCACAUGCACACAGUGACCAUUCCUUACCAUAACGGCAUGUAGCUCUUUCAAAGUUGCUAUUGACCUCUUGGUGGCCUCUCUGAUCAAUCUCCUCCUUACUUGGUCAUCCUGUUUGGAGGAACGGCCUGAUCUAGCAGGGUCUUGCUGUUACCAUAUGCCUUACACCUCUUAAUGGUUGUUUUGACUGUGUUCCAAGGGAUAUUCAAGCCCUUUGACAUGUUUUUAUACCCAUUUCUUGAUUUGUUCCUUUCCAAAACUUUAUCUUGGAGGUCUUUUGAAAGCUCCUUGGUGCUCAUGCUUGAGACUGUGCUGUGAAACGCACUACCCAGCAGAGGAAAACUACAGGAACAGCUGAUUUUAUUCUGAAAUAAUCAGAAUCACUACAAUUUAACACAGGUGGGGGGGGGGAAUUAACUUGGUGUGUGAUUUUGAAGGUAAUUGGUUACACCUGAGCUAACUUACAAUUGGUAUAAUAAGGGGGUGGACACUUAUCCAACCAAGGUAUUCUAGUUUUGUAUUUUUCAUUAAUUUCCUGAAAUUUGUGGAAUUUGUUUUUAUCUUGGAAGUUGUGGGUUAUGGCGUGUAAAUAAAGGUGGAAAAAGUCUGAUUUAAUGUAAUUUAAUUCCAGGCUAUGAGUCAACAAUGUCUGAAAUUUUUGAGAGAACAUUGGACUUUCUAUAGGCACUGUAUGUGCCUUUUUUUUGCUUUCUUGCUUGGAAAUACUUGCUUUUAAAUGAUUGCUUGCUUGUGUGUUUGCAAUAAAUAAUUGAUUGUUUUGAUUUCCAAUCUGUCUCGGUUGUCUUUUCCUUUAUUGGUCCGACACAGUGCACAAGUAUAGUUGGACGGGAAGUUGUUUGCUUUGUUCAGGAGCACACACUCACUGUGACGCUCGGCAGUAAUCCGAGUGUGUGCUGAGGGCACGUGACUUCUAUUAGCCAGCCGUCC